rnacentral:rRNA from 1 species
AACUAACGCUGGCGGCGUGCCUAACACAUGCAAGUCGUACGAGAAAGUUGGCUUCGGCCGAUGAGUACAGUGGCGCACGGGUGAGUAACGCGUGGAUAAUCUGCCCUUAAGUGUGGAAUAACGUACCGAAAGGUGCGCUAAUACCGCAUAAUGCCUGGCAACAUAAGUUGUCCGGCCAAAGAAGGCCUCUGCUUGCAAGCUUUCGCUAAAGGAUGAGUCCGCGUACCAUUAGCUAGUUGGUGGGGUAACGGCCUACCAAGGCGACGAUGGUUAGCUGGUCUGAGAGGAUGAUCAGCCACACUGGAACUGAGACACGGUCCAGACUCCUACGGGAGGCAGCAGUGAGGAAUAUUGGGCAAUGGGGGAAACCCUGACCCAGCGACGCCGCGUGGGUGAAGAAAUCCUUCGGGAUGUAAAGCCCUGUUGUAUGGGAAGAGCGGAAGACGGUACCAUACGAGGAAGCCCCGGCAAACUACGUGCCAGCAGCCGCGGUAAUCUCGU